AUUGAACGCUGGCGGCAGGCCUAACACAUGCAAGUCGAGCGGAGCGGCGGACGGGUGAGUAAUGCCUGGGAAGCUGCCUGGUAGUGGGGGAGAACGUCCGGAAGCGGGCGCUAACAAAGAAUACGAUAAGGUGAGCCUAGGUAGGAUUAGCUAGUUGGUGGGGUAAAGGCCUACCCAGGCGACGAUCCGUAACUGGUCUGAGGGGAUGAGCAGCCACACUGGAACUGAGACACGGUCCAGACCCCUACGGGAGGCAGCAGUGGGGAAUAUUGGACAAUGGGCGAAAGCCUGAUCCAGCCAUGCCGCGUGUGUGAAGAAGGUCUUCGGAUUGUAAAGCACUUUAAGUUGGGAGGCGUUACCAACAGAAUAAGCACCGGCUAACUUCGUGCCAGCAGCCGCGGUAAUUC
rnacentral:rRNA from 1 species